rnacentral:rRNA from 1 species
AUGGGCUGGCCCAUUACUGCGCUUGGUAAAAAGAAAGAGAAAAAGCGUGAGAACCAGGGAUCAAACCCUGGUCUCCUGUGUGGAGCAUCAUUGCCUCAGCCAUCGCGCCACUCAUGCAUUGAAAAAACGUUUUCUAUUGCCGUCCGUACGACGCCCGUCUUCAAAGUCCAACCACAACUCCUCCUUCCCCCGCCGUCUUUUAUGCCGACGCAUCCUACCCUCCUCUUGAAACAGGCCCGCACAAAUCCUUCCUCCCUCGCAUGUCCGUCGCCGCCGCCGCCGCCGCCAGCACCGGCCACCUCACCCCAGGCGCGGGACAGAUCUAGGAAUCAGGAGGGGAUGGACGGAGUAUGGCGAACAGGCCGACGGGAUGUGCUCUCUCCUCCCGCUACCAAGGCCCGUGGGCGGGGCGCCCGACCUCUAGACGACGCCGGCGAUAACCAAGGACGGAUGUGCAUCCUGGCAUCUCAGCUCAAGAUGUGUCCAAUUCAUCUCUCCGUGAAGAGGAUUAGCUCCACGACGCCCGCGCCGAACAGCCGAUCAGGAAACCAUCUCCGCCUCCCUGCUUCUUCCCUUCUCUCUGGUUAUCCUGAGAUGGCCCGGCUAGGUGCCGGCCCGACGACACCUCCCCCGCCCAGGCCCUCCAUCGGCUCAAGAUCCGGGCCCCGCCGUGUUGCCGCUCCCAUCUCCCUGCAUCUUCCCGAGAUGUGGCACUAUGGUGGAUUGGAAUCAUGCCAUGAAGCAGAAGAAGAGGAGGUUUGUUCGCCAUCAAGCCAACCUUGCACUGCUGCACCACGUCUCGCAACAGUUAAGCUAGCUGUUUGUCCUCAAGCUAUUCUGUCUUCUAAUUGUAAGUGGCAAAUCGUAGAAGUGAAGUCCAUCAACAGCAUGGAUGAAAACAAGCUCUGGUAUAAAAUAAGUGAACAGCCCCAGCCCAAUUGCGUCAUUUCGUCCGUGCUCGACAUUGGUGUCUUGCCGUUCUGCCGGAGCCGUGGAAAUCUCACUGUUCUGCCAACCUGGCCGGAAUUUCUCCGUAGUGCCGACUUCAUUGGAAUUACAUCCACUCGUGUAGCCAAGUUGCUCCACAAAGUUGCUGUUGUUUGUACAUGCUACAUUUUUUACUGGAAGAACUAUUUGAAGGAGAUUGUGAGAGUACUGACCUGCAGUUUGUCUUCUUGGUUGAUGAUGUUUUUGCGGCAGCCUAAUGAUGAAUUUAUAGGAGUGUCCGUCCCGGAGCAUGGGCCGACCAAACAGGGCAUGGAGGUAGUGGGGGGGCUGCGGGUGCAUGCUUCCGCUACCAUAUAUGAGGUCCCUUCUUUCUAUGACUUCUCGGAGUCCAAGGUUUGCUGGGUGCGACGUUCGGCGAACAAAGUUGCCCAUGUUUUAGCUAUGGAAGGAUGUGCGAAUAAGCUUUGUAAACAUGGUUCCAUGUCCAACUCGCAUGUGUUAUCACACUGUUUAGCUUUGGCCAAGCACAAACUCGAAUCAAAAGGGGGGAGGAGGGCAGCAAUAUGCACCAGGAUCAAGAGGGGGCACAAUCUCGUGUUGUUGCUCUAUGAAACAGAUAACAGUUUUAUAUCGCUCGACAUGGUGGAUGAAGUAGUAUGUUCGACUGGUGGUGAGAAGGAUGACCCCGGCUCCAAGCCCACUGCACACAGAAAUUGGGUAGUAUGUUCGACUGGUGGUGAGAAGGAUGACCCCGAAUCCCAGCCCACUGCGCUUCUUGGUGCAGUGGUGGGCUUCAAAGAAACUAACAAGUCAACUCUUUUAAACACUUUCUACCUAGAGUCUAAGAGACUGCAGAUAGCAAGUGAAACAAAACAAAAUCAAGCUGAAAUCAGACCACAAAACAUCGAGUUCGCGCUGAUGGCCAAAGUCCUGGCCGCCACCCCAUACGCCAUGCCCGCGUACGUGUUUAUACACGAUCAUCCAGGCGGGACACCGAAGCGCUCUCUCUUCCUCUGGAUGUCGCGCUCCUCGACAACGACCCGCCUCUCCCUCCUCUCAAAAGCCGGCCGGCCGCCGACCUGGAUCUGCCUCAUCACCGGAAGCCGCCUCGAUGAGCUCCUCUUCCACUCUCGUGCGUGUGCUAGCUGCUCCCGCUUGAGCUACUGGUGUUGUGCUGCUGCUUGUGCUACUGUUCUGUUGUGCCAUGGAUGGGUGGUUCUGCUGAUGCUAUUGGCUGCUGUUCUAAAAAAAUCAGUUUUUCAGUUGAAGCAUAAAUUGGUGCAAUAUCAGGUCAUGGAGGGGAGUAAGGGCAUGCAAGAGCCAUACACUGAACCUAUUGUUAAAGUACCCAGAGAGCCUGCCAUCAUUACCAAUCGUGUCCCAGACUUGCCUCCUGAAUUCACAUCUGGUUCACAACUUGCAGGAAAGUUAUCAAGUAUGACAGUGAAAGAUUGGUGCAGUGUUGUCUAUCAAGUUGGAGACCAGGAAGAUCUUGAGCGGCAUGAACUGGAGGAGAUCCUGCUGCCAUUGGACAUAACCAUUCCACUCAAAACACUUGUGAUGGACAAGUUCAAACAUCAGAAUGCUGUUCCCAACUACAGAACUAGGAUGGCUAGACCAAGAACUAAUGUUGCCAGCAAUCAGAUGGUGGUUAGAGCAGUAAAUGGCCAACAGUCAAACAACCUACCACUCCUCACAGGGUUGCUUCAGGCGUCAGCAUCAGAAGGAGGCUUUCCACCAGCAACCUCCUCUGACUACCCACCCACACACAGAGCAGCACAGCCUUCAGCUUCAGCCCAUAGAGGCAUGAGAAGCCCAUAG